UGCCAGCCGCCGCGGUAAUACGGAAGGUGCAAGCGUUGUUCGGAAUUAUUGGGCGUAAAGCGCGUGUAGGCGGUUCGUUAAGUCUGAUGUGAAAGCCCGGGGCUCAACCCCGGAUGGUCACUUGAAACAGCAAGACUUGAAUACGAGAGAGGUAAGCGGAAUUCCUAGUGUAGAGGUGAAAUUCGUAGAGAUUAGGAGGAACACCAGUGGCGAAAGCGGCUUACUGGCUCGAUAUUGACGCUCAUGUACGAAAGUGUGGGUAGCAAACAGGAUUAGAUA
rnacentral:rRNA from 1 species